ensembl:lncRNA
AAGGUCAAGAGAUGGAGACCAUCCUGGUCAACAUGGUGAAACCCCGUCUCUACUAAAAAAAUAUACAAAAAAUUAGCUGGGCAUGGUGGCGCGUGCCUGUAAUCCCAGCUACUCAGGAGGCUGAGGCAGGAGAAUUGCCUGAAUCCAGGAGGCGGAGGUUGCCGUGAGCCGAGAUCGCGCCAUUGCACUCCAGUCUGGGUAACAAGCGCGAAACUCCGUCUCAUUAAAAAAAAAAAAAAAGAAGAAGAAGAAGAAUAGAGACCCUAUAAAUAAAGUCAUAUACUUACAACCAACUUAUCUUUGACCAAGUCCACAAAAGUAAACAAUGGGAAAAUAAACUUCUAUUCAAUAAAUGGUGCUGGGAAAAUUGGAUAGCCAUAAGUAGAAGAAUGAAACUGAACCCCUAUCUCACAGAACAUACACAAAUUAACUCAAGAUGGAUUAAAGACUUAAAGGUAUAUGCUGGAGAGCAGGAGCAGAAGAUGGCAACCAGAACACCAGAAACUGAUGCACACCUUGCUGGGAGGCUAGAAAGUGCAGUCUUCAUUCUGGGUGACCUCAAAUUUGGCAGUUUUUUUAUUGAAGGAAGAAGAAAAUGGCCAGCAAGUAUCAAAUGAGUGUGUGUGUGUGUGUGUGUGUGUGUAGCAUAAAUGUAUAUAGCAUAGAAAUAUAUAAGCAUAUAUAUGGAUGAGUUAUUAAUCUUCACAAAUACAACAUGUUAUCUCUAUUGAAAAAAAGAGCUUCAGAUAACAUCAUUCAGGAUUCUAGAAUCUUUUAUUAUUAGUGGUCAGGCAAGAUUGGGGUGGGUUUUCUUGCAAUAGGAGAGGGAGUAAAGGGAUGUGUAAAUGACUUAAUUUCUCCACCUCCUUAUGGGUUUGGAAUUUCCUUCCACAAAGAGGUUAAGGGUUUCUCUCAAAGAUUGAUGCCUAUGAGAAACACCACUGAAUGGGAUCAUCUGAUUCCCAAACUUUAAACCAUAAGGAGUAAUUAUGACUGGGGCAAUGCAUAGUGGAAAACACAGUAUAAAAGUAUGAGCUGAGGGAGUACUUAUUUGGAAAGAACUUCCAGGCAAGUACUGAUGAUGUGAGGCAAAGCAAUAAUUUAAAUCUUGUAAUUUGGGAAAUAGCAUGUCUAACUCCACUAUUUUGAAUGGGAUAUUAAAAUUUAAGACCCAAACCAGACUAGCUCCUUUCCUCCGGCCCAGAACUUACUGUGGUUUGUGUUUCUGUCACUUGAAAGAAAAUAAUUUCUCCCUAGAUUUGCAAAACUCUUUUUUUAUAAUCAUUUUAGUGAAAUAAAGUAGAGGCUUGCUGACAUGCUUUUACUCCUUGUGAUCUCCCAAGGAAGUUGGAGACUGAGGAGAAAGGAAAGGAAAGAUACAAAACUAAACUACUGUGUGAAUGGUUGGUAGUAAAGUCCCAUUAAUACUUUCUCUCUGACAUUCUUCUAACUCUAAUGGCCUUAGAAUAUACCUGAUGUUAAAAAGAUGAAGAAAAAUCUCUAACAGCAUCAGUAACCUGAAAGUGCCUAAGGUCAUUCUUUUACAGUUUGUGUCAGG